rnacentral:rRNA from 1 species
GGGCUCGCGUCCCAUUAGCUUGUUGGUGGGGUAAUGGCCUACCAAGGCUACGAUGGGUAGCUGGUCUGAGAGGAUGAUCAGCCACACUGGAACUGGAACACGGUCCAGACUCCUACGGGAGGCAGCAGUGAGGGAUUUUGCGCAAUGGGGGAAACCCUGACGCAGCAACGCCGCGUGAGUGAAGAAGGCUUUCGGGUCGUAAAGCUCUGUCAAGCGGGAAAUGAUGGUACCGCUAGAGGAAGCACCGGCUAACUCCGUGCCAGCAGCCGCGGUAAUACGGAGGGUGCGAGCGUUGUUCGGAAUUACUGGGCGUAAAGCGCGUGCAGGCGGCUUGGUAAGUCAGAUGUGAAAGCCCAGGGCUCAACCCUGGAAGUGCAUUUGAUACUGCCAUGCUUGAGUAUGGGAGAGGGGAGUGGAAUUCCCAGUGUAGAGGUGAAAUUCGUAGAU